UACGUAGGGUGCAAGCGUUAAUCGGAAUUACUGGGCGUAAAGCGUGCGCAGGCGGUUUUGUAAGGCAGAGGUGAAAUCCCCGGGCUUAACCUGGGAACUGCCUUUGUGACUGCAAGGCUUGAGUGCGGCAGAGGGGGAUGGAAUUCCGCGUGUAGCAGUGAAAUGCGUAGAUAUGCGGAGGAACACCGAUGGCGAAGGCAAUCCCCUGGGCCUGCACUGACGCUCAUGCACGAAAGCGUGGGGAGCAAACAGG
rnacentral:rRNA from 1 species